rnacentral:tRNA from 1 species
GCAUGGUGGCAUAGUGGUUUGAUGUUGGACUACAACUCUGAAGACCAGGGUUUGAUUCCCAGGUCGUCCA